rnacentral:rRNA from 1 species
AUUGAACGCUGGCGGCAGGCCUAACACAUGCAAGUCGAGCGAGCGGCGGACGGGUGAGUAAUGUAUGGGGACUGCCCGAUAGAGGGGGAUAACUACUGGAAACGGUGGCUAAUACCGCCUACUGUCGGAUAACCCAUAUGGGAUUAUCUAGUAGGUCAGGUAAUGGCUUACCUAGGCGACGAUUCCUAGCCGGUCUGAGAGGGUGAACGGCCACCUUGGGACUGAGACACGGCCCAGACUCCUACGGAGGCAGCAGGGGGGAAUAGUGCACACUGGGGGCAAGCCUGACGCAGCCAUGCCGCGUGUAUGAAGAAGGCUCUAGGGUUGUAAAGUACUUUCAGUCGGGAGGCGUUACCGACAGAAGAAGCACCGGCUAACUCCGUGCCAGCAGCCGCGGUAAUAC